AAAGUCGUAACAAGGUUUCCGUAGGUGAACCUGCGGAAGGAUCAUUACUACACGCCCUUACGGGCCAUGAGUCACCAACGAUUCCCGUUUGCAUUUUCCGUUCUGGCGAGUGUGGCGGGGAUCACAUCAUCUAAGUUUUAGAAACAUAAUAAAUAAAUAUUACAACUUUCAACAAUGGAUCUCUUGGUUCUU
rnacentral:misc_RNA from 1 species